UACGUAGGGUGCUAGCGUUGUCCGGAUUUAUUGGGCGUAAAGAGCGUGUAGGCGGUUUGGUAGGUCCGUUGUGAAAACUCGAGGCUCAACCUCGAGACGCCGGCGGAAACCAUCAGGCUAGAGUCCGGAAGAGGAGAGUGGAAUUCCUGGUGUAGCGGUGAAAUGCGCAGAUAUCAGGAAGAACACCCGUGGCUAAGGCGGCUCUCUAGUACGGUACUGACGCUGAGACGCGAAAGCGUGGGGAGCGAACAGG
rnacentral:rRNA from 1 species